rnacentral:rRNA from 1 species
GACGAACGCUGGCGGCGUGCUUAACACAUGCCAGUCGAACGGAAAGGCCCUGCUUUUGUGGGGUGCUCGAGUGGCGAACGGGUGAGUAACACGUGAGUAACCUGCCCUUGACUUUGGGAUAACUUCAGGAAACUGGGGCUAAUACCGGAUAGGAGCUCCUGCUGCAUGGUGGUGGUUGGAAAGUUUCGGCGGUUGGGGAUGGACUCGCGGCUUAUCAGCUUGUUUGUGGGGUAGUGGCUUACCAAGGCUUUGACGGGUAGCCGGCCUGAGAGGGUGACCGGCGACAUUGGGACUGAGAUACGGCGCAGACUCCUACGGGAGGCAGCAGUGGGGAAUAUUGCACAAUGGGCGGAAGCCUGAUGCAGCAACGCCGCGUGCGGGAUGACGGCCUUCGGGUUGUAAACCGCUUUCGCCUGUGACGAAGCGUGAGUGACGGUAAUGGGUAAAGAAGCAACGGCUAACUACGUG